AACGGCAGCACGGGAGCUUGCUCCUGGUGGCGAGUGGCGAACGGGUGAGUAACAUAUCGGAACGUACCCCGUCGUGGGGGAUAACUCUCCGAAAGGAGUGCUAAUACCGCAUACGACCUGAGGGUGAAAGCGGGGGACCUGCAAGGGCCUCGCGCGAUGGGAGCGGCCGAUAUCAGAUUAGCUAGUUGGUGAGGUAAAGGCUCACCAAGGCGACGAUCCGUAGCGGGUCUGAGAGGACGACCCGCCACACUGGAACUGAGACACGGUCCAGACUCCUACGGGAGGCAGCAGUGGGGAAUUUUGGACAAUGGGGGAAACCCUGAUCCAGCCAUGCCGCGUGCGGGAAGAAGGCCUUCGGGUUGUAAACCGCUUUUGGCAGGAACGAAACGGCGCGCGCCAAUACCGCGCGCUAAUGACGGUACCUGCAGAAUAAGCACCGGCUAACUACGUGCCAGCAGCCGCGGUAAUACGUAGGGUGCAAGCGUUAAUCGGAAUUACUGGGCGUAAAGCGUGCGCAGGCGGUCUUGCAAGACAGAUGUGAAAUCCCCGGGCUCAACCUGGGAACUGCAUUUGUGACUGCAAGGCUGGAGUACGGCAGAGGGGGAUGGAAUUCCGCGUGUAGCAGUGAAAUGCGUAGAUAUGCGGAGGAACACCGAUGGCGAAGGCAAUCCCCUGGGCCUGUACUGACGCUCAUGCACGAAAGCGUGGGGAGCAAACAGGACUAGAUACCCUGGUAGUCCACGCCCUAAACGAUGUCGACUGGUUGUUGGGAAGGUUCCUUCUCAGUAACGUAGCUAACGC
rnacentral:rRNA from 1 species